GACGAACCGUCCAAACGUUAUUCGGAAUCACUGGGCUUACAGAGUUCGUAGGCGGUCUGGAAAGUUGGGUGUGUAAUCCCUCGGCCUAACCGAGGAACUGCGCUUGAAACUACCAGACUCGAGGGAGAUAGAGGAAAGCGGAACUGAUGGUGGAGCGGUGAAAUGCGUUGAUAUCAUCAGGAACACCAGUGGCGAAGGCGACUUCCUGGCCUGUUCUUGACGCUGAGGCGCGAAAGCUAGGGUAGCAAACGGG
rnacentral:rRNA from 1 species